rnacentral:rRNA from 1 species
UACGUAGGGGGCAAGCGUUGUCCGGAUUUAUUGGGCGUAAAGCGCUCGCAGGUGGUUCGUUGCGUCGUGCGUGAAAGACCCCGGCUCAACUGGGGAGUGUCGUGCGAUACGGGCGAACUGGAGGCCAGUAGGGGGAUGCGGAAUUCCGGGUGUAGUGGUGGAAUGCGUAGAGAUCAGGAAGAACACCCGUGGCGCAAGCGGCCACCUGGCUGCCAACUGACGCUGAGGCACGAGAGCGUGGGGAGCGAACCGG